CAGUCGCCGCGGGAAUACGAAGGGGGCUAGCGUUGCUCGGAAUUACUGGGCGUAAAGGGAGCGUAGGCGGAUCGUUAAGUUGGGGGUGAAAGCCCGGGGCUCAACCUCGGAAUUGCCUUCAAUACUGGCGAUCUUGAGUAUGGAAGAGGUAUGUGGAACUCUGAGUGUAGAGGUGAAAUUCGUAGAUAUUCGGAAGAACACCAGUGGCGAAGGCGACAUACUGGUCCAUUACUGACGCUGAGGCUCGAAAGCGUGGGGAGCAAACAGGAUUAGAUACCCGCGUAGUCCCUGUCUCUUAUAA
rnacentral:rRNA from 1 species